GACGAACGCUGGCGGCGUGCCUAAUACAUGCAAGUCGAACGAACCGCGACUGAGUGCUUGCACUUGGUCAAGGUGAGUGGCGAACGGGUGAGUAACACGUGGGUAACCUACCUCAUAGUGGGGGAUAACAGUCGGAAACGACUGCUAAUACCGCAUAGGACAUAGGAUCACAUGAUCCAGUGAGGAAAGGUGGCGCAAGCUAUCGCUAAGAGAUGGACCCGCGGUGCAUUAGCUAGUUGGUAGGGUAAGGGCCUACCAAGGCGAUGAUGCAUAGCCGACCUGAGAGGGUGAUCGGCCACAUUGGGACUGAGACACGGCCCAAACUCCUACGGGAGGCAGCAGUAGGGAAUCUUCCGCAAUGGACGCAAGUCUGACGGAGCAACGCCGCGUGAGUGAAGAAGGUCUUCGGAUCGUAAAGCUCUGUUGUUAGAGAAGAACAGCGCAUAGAGUAACUGCUAUGCGUGUGACGGUAUCUAACCAGAAAGCCACGGCUAACUACGUG
rnacentral:rRNA from 1 species